GACGUAGGAUGCGAGCGUUGUUCGGAAUUAUUGGGCGUAAAGCGUGCGUAGGCGGUCAUUCAAGUCUGGUGUUAAAGCUAGGGGCUCAACCCCUGUGUUGCACUGGAAACUGGAUGACUUGAGUGCGGUAGGGGAAGGUAGAAUUCCGAGUGUAGCGGUGAAAUGCGUAGAUAUUCGGAAGAAUACCGGUGGCGAAGGCGACCUUCUGGGCCGCAACUGACGCUGAGGCACGAAAGCGUGGGGAGCAAACGGG
rnacentral:rRNA from 1 species